rnacentral:rRNA from 1 species
UAAUAGAGUAUAAUAGGGACGGUCGGGGCCAUCAGUAUUCAGUCGUCAGAGGUGAAAUUCUUGGAUUGACUGAAGACUAACUACUGCGAAAGCAUUUGCCAAGGACGUUUUCAUUAAUCAAGAACGAAAGUUAGGGGAUCGAAGAUGAUCAGAUACCGUCGUAGUCUUAACCAUAAACUAUGCCGACUAGGGAUCGGGUGGUGCUACUUUGCCCACUCGGCACCUUACGAGAAAUCAAAGUUUUUGGGUUCUGGGGGGAGUAUGGUCGCAAGGCUGAAACUUAAAGGAAUUGACGGAAGGGCACCACCAGGAGUGGAGCCUGCGGCUUAAUUUGACUCAACACGGGGAAACUCACCAGGUCCAGACGUAAUAAGGAUUGACAAGUUAGAGACUUCUCUUGAUCUUACGGGUGGUGGUGCAUGGCCGUUUUUAGUCCUUGGAGUGAUUUGUCUGCUUAAUUGCGAUAACGGACGAGACCUUAACCUGCUAAAUAGGGCUGCGAGCAUCUGCUCGGGUGCUCUUCUUAGAGGGACUAUGGGUAUCAAACCCAUGGAAGUUUGAGGCAACAACAGGUCUGUGAUGCCCUUAGACGUUCUGGGCCGCACGCGCGCUACACUGACGGAGCCAGCAAGUCC